rnacentral:rRNA from 1 species
UGCGAACUCCUACGGGAGGCAGCAGUGAGGAAUAUUGGUCAAUGGACGCAAGUCUGAACCAGCCAAGUAGCGUGCAGGAUGACGGCCCUAUGGGUUGUAAACUGCUUUUAUGUGGGAAUAAAGUGGCGCACGUGUGCGCCAUUGCAUGUACCUCAUGAAUAAGGACCGGCUAAUUCCGUGCCAGCAGCCGCGGUAAUACGGAAGGUCCGGGCGUUAUCCGGAUUUAUUGGGUUUAAAGGGAGUGUAGGCGGUCUGUUAAGCGUGUUGUGAAAUUUAGGUGCUCAACAUUUAACUUGCAGCGCGAACUGUCAGACUUGAGUACACGCAGCGCAGGCGGAAUUCAUGGUGUAGCGGUGAAAUGCUUAGAUAUCAUGAGGAACUCCGAUCGCGAAGGCAGCCUGCGGGAGUGUUACUGACGCUUAAGCUCGAAGGUGCGGGUAUCGAACAGGAUUAGAUACCCUUGUAGUCCU